GACGUAGGGUGCGAGCGUUGUCCGGAUUUAUUGGGCGUAAAGAGCUCGUAGGCGGCUCGUCGCGUCAGCUGUGAAAACCCGCGGCUUAACCGUGGGCUUGCAGCUGAUACGGGCGGGCUAGAGUUCGGUAGGGGAGACUGGAAUUCCUGGUGUAGCGGUGAAAUGCGCAGAUAUCAGGAGGAACACCGGUGGCGAAGGCGGGUCUCUGGGCCGAUACUGACGCUGAGGAGCGAAAGCGUGGGGAGCAAACGGG
rnacentral:rRNA from 1 species